rnacentral:rRNA from 1 species
GAUGAACGCUGGCGGCGUGCCUAAUACAUGCAAGUCGAGCGAACAGACGAGGAGCUUGCUCCUCUGACGUUAGCGGCGGACGGGUGAGUAACACGUGGAUAACCUACCUAUAAGACUGGGAUAACUUCGGGAAACCGGAGCUAAUACCGGAUAAUAUAUUGAACCGCAUGGUUCAAAAGUGAAAGACGGUUUUGCUGUCACUUAUAGAUGGAUCCGCGCUGCAUUAGCUAGUUGGUAAGGUAACGGCUUACCAAGGCAACGAUGCAUAGCCGACCUGAGAGGGUGAUCGGCCACACUGGAACUGAGACACGGUCCAGACUCCUACGGGAGGCAGCAGUAGGGAAUCUUCCGCAAAGGGCGAAAGCCUGACGGAGCAACGCCGCGUGAGUGAUGAAGGUCUUCGGAUCGUAAAACUCUGUUAUUAGGGAAGAACAAAUGUGUAAGUAACUAUGCACGUCUUGACGGUGCCUAAUCAGAAAGCCACGGCUAACUACGUG